rnacentral:rRNA from 1 species
UACCAGCACCCCGAGUGGUCGGGACGAUUAUUGGGCCUAAAGCAUCCGUAGCCGGUUCCUUAAGUCCUCCGUUAAAUCCACCUGCUUAACAGAUGGGCUGCGGAGGAUACUAUAGAGCUAGGAGGCGGGAGAGGCAAGCGGUACUCAGUGGGUAGGGGUAAAAUCCGUUGAUCCAUUGAAGACCACCAGUGGCGAAGGCGGCUUGCCAGAACGCGCUCGACGGUGAGGGAUGAAAGCUGGGGGAGCAAACCGGG